UACGUAGGGUGCGAGCGUUGUCCGGAAUUAUUGGGCGUAAAGAGCUCGUAGGCGGUUUGUCGCGUCGACUGUGAAAACCCGAGGCUUAACCUCGGGCCUGCAGUCGAUACGGGCAGACUAGAGUUCGGUAGGGGAGACUGGAAUUCCUGGUGUAGCGGUGAAAUGCGCAGAUAUCAGGAGGAACACCGAUGGCGAAGGCAGGUCUCUGGGCCGAUACUGACGCUGAGGAGCGAAAGCGUGGGGAGCGAACAGG
rnacentral:rRNA from 1 species